AGAGAAAGCCUAUGCGGGCGAAAAUGCACGGGAGAGAGAGAAAAGAAAAAGGAUGUAGCCUCGCCCAGUUAGCACCGUCCCCGCAUACGACCUCCACCCUCUACGUUCCCCACCGCACGCCGCAUCCUCUUCCUCAUUCUCACCUGGAUGGAUGGGAGCAAGAAUAGUGCCUGGAAAAAGGGCCAACGGUGAUGGAUGGGAGCAAAGCAUCAACGGGCGAUGGAGUCUGGGGCAGCGGAUCCUGCACAGGCGGCGUCUUCUCCCCUCCUUUGCUGUCGCCGCCUCCUGCCCCGGCAACUUCAUCCGGCCGCACGGCCGCAAUGCGCCGCAUCUCCUUCAGCGUCUCCAGGAAUUCGAGACCUCUGGUGGGGAGGAAGAACGCUAGGCCGAUGGAGCCGCUUGACAAUGACGCUGCAUCCAUCAUGAUGCCGAUGAGGCAUGGCAUUGUAUGUUCUACUGUGCGCCGGCCGCACAACAUGAAGGCUGGCCAUCGGAGGCGAGCGACCAUACUUCCUGUUGUGGCGGCAGGGAAUGAUGAACACUGUCGACAGGAACAGGGCGCUCACCUUUUUUUCCCUAAGCUGCUGGCUUCCCCACUCCCCUCUCCAUGUCUCUGCAAGAGCACAAAAAGAGUAUGCAUAUCUUCUUGCGUGGGAGUUAACCUGCCUUUUUCUAUUGCCUUACACGAACAUACCUGAGGUACAAAAAAUAACCCACGAGCCUUUCUGGUUAAGUGACCUGAAUAUUCUUAUCUGAACCUGCUUGUUGCAUCCUUAUCACUUUGAAUAUCCACUGCAUGGUUUCUUUAUUAAGAUUCAGCUGCCUUUAUUAUUUUGCUGUUAUAAUGCACCAAGGAAAAAGGGCAACAAUGAUCUGUUCAGAGAGCUCACAUGCUAUUAAACCUUGAGAUUUUUUAUAUUCGCUAGGUCUGCACGCUAUACAAGUUAUAUUGCUGCGAGCGCUUGCAGGUUGCCCUAUUAUAAUGUACAAUAUUCCUUUUAAUUGGGUCUAUUAUCAUUUUGAUGCUGAGCGAGUGUAGUAGAAUUAGUACACAUGGGAGAAAUCUGGGAAUUGUGUUUGUGUUAUCUCUAUUAUUUUAAAUAGCAUUUACCGCAGAAAAGUUAAAUUAUUUUCAUUUUGUUAAGACUACUGAUAGUCUGGAACUACUGAUAGAUAGGGGAUGUGGAUAUGGUGUUACUGAUUGGUAAUGCGCGCCUUCCUCUAAAGAGUUCGCCAUAGUUUCAAGGUUUUCUUACCAAUCAUUUAGGUAUGCAUAUCUGCAUGGCCAACAAGAUGGAUCCUCAGUCAAGACUCAAGAUGAUACGUGUUGAUUUCCACCUCAAUGUUUCUUGGGUACUGAAAGUUAAGCACUUGAUUCGUUAGUGCAAUGCAGUCUGCCAUUUUUCGUUGAGAUCUGUCUUUUCAGUUAUAGCCUGCAAAAAUUAUCCAUACGACAUACACCUCGAGCUAAAUAAUAUUUCUUAUAGUAAACUUCCAAGUUGUUAGAAUUUAUUUUUGACGCGUCUGUAAAGGUCAAAUACCCCGUGCUUUCAUCUGCAAGAAACUUAAGCUAAAUUGCUUUGGUAUGCUUUUAGUUUUUAUUUGGGUGUCAUUGUAGAUCUUGAUAUGUUUAUGACCUUCAAUGACAGGGAAGAGAAUGUGAGGAUGCCUUUCAUGGACAAGUGGGGCUAUAAUUGUUGUACUGCUUUGCUCACAAUAAUCUUUAAAACGAGUCAAACUCCAAUCUUCCCUAUGUAAGUGGAAGGAGUAAAUGUAUUUGAAAGUGCCAGAUCUUGUGCAAAACUUACAUAUAAGGUUUGAACACAAGCUCAACCUCAUCUUUGUAAAUUAUUUAUAGUUCACCACAAGAUAUCAAUACUUGUAUAUCCUGUAUAAUAUGAUAUAAAACCACCAUGGUUUUGUGGCCGAAAAUAGUGAUAGAAUAUCAUCUUUUGUUCUGUACUGAAAGAGUAGAGCUCCAUUUUACCAAUAGUAGGUUUAGAAAUAGGACAGAGUAAUCUUUGGGAAUAGGCAACAUGAUAUCAGCGUCUUCUUCACGGUUUACUAUUUCUUAGACAAACACCAUUUUCUACGGUUGGAAAGGGCAGAGGCAUAUAUGAGUAUGAUGUUUUCAGUUAUAGUUAUUAAUUUUGUUUUGAUCAUUAUAGUUUCUCUGAUCAUUCAAAAUAUGAGGAGUGUUUGUUUAUCCAAAUAAAUGACAGAUUGAGAGUAGUAGAGAGGACGCUGCUGUCCUGAGCAUCUAUGCAGAAAUUACGCACCUAAACAUGUUAGUAUCCAAAGAUUCAGGGGGCAUUACAUCGAGGAUGUUCUUUCUCCAUCACGAUGCUACACCACUUUAUUGAUCAGAAGCGUUUGUUGAUUCUUUUGUGAGGGGUAUUUUCUCAUUAUAAUUUGGCAUCCAUGCCUUUCACAGAGCACCUUUAUGGAGCACCGUCUGUCACCAUUAUGCUUCUUAACUAAUGUGUUUGCACUCAUUGGAGGUAAUUUGCCCUAUGGAUAUUUAUUUGAUAAACUAGCUACCCAUCUCUACUAAAUGGUAACGUUAUGCUCAUAUGCUACUUAUGCCAGUUGAACAUUUGAUAUCUAGACUUAUGUCUUUCCUUUGCAUUGAACAUGGGAGCGAUCGAUUUCCCGUUUGAGGCGGAAAACAAUCCCAUGUUCAUAUGUUAAUUGGACUGCUCAAGCUUCAGCUGAACAAUUUAUAUCUAGAACUAUGUCUACUCAUGUAGGAUCACUUUCCAUUUGCUGCAGAAAUAAUCUUUAUAAGCUAUGCCUGAUAGGGAAAUAAUAAUUAUUGCCAUUAUAUGUUUUGAUGAAUGGGUUCCUGACAAUCUCUCUCUCACACACACACUCACUCACUCACUCACUCAGGUGUGGUGUGUGUAUGUGUGUGGUUACCUCUUCAUUUUGCCAUUCUAUGUUUCAUGGACUUCACACAGUAAUGAAUUUACAUUUCUGGUAUGCUCUUGUAAAAUCUACAUGAUUUUGAGUCUUUAUUUGGUCUCAUAAAUGACUUGUUUUUUUUUAUAAUUCUGUAGUUAUAUUGCUAUUCCCCUUUCAAACAAUAUAUUUGUGUAGUUGUAUCUCCAUCCAUCAGACUUUCUGGAAGAUGUUGCAGCGCAUGGUAUAAAGGUUACUUUGAAUUGUGACCCAUAAGGAACAUGGAUCCUUGUGGCUAAAGAACCGCACUAUUCUUGCUGCAUAUUCUUACAUUGCUGGUUCUUUUGCGUUGUUGCGGCUUGUAUUAUUGGCCCAGUCUCCUUACAAAUAUCCACAAUUCAAUGGUGAUAACAUUAUGGUGAACAUGUACUUGCUACUUUGAUUGCUAAGUUUGAAAUGUUUAUCCAUGUUUUACCUAGAUGGAGAAACAUGCAGACCUAUCGAUAAGGAGGAGGUGGAGACAAACAUUCGAGAGGAGGGGAACUCCGCUGGUGAGGGCACGGUUGACAGAAACUGAACCUAAUACUCAAAGUAUGUAGCUGUACUGUGUUUCGUUCUUUCUCUGUUUGGUGUUUAUUCAUUUCAGUUAUGUUUCUGAAUAAGAAAUUUCGUGUGUUGUAUGUAUAUCCUAUGCAAACUGUCAACUUUUCCACCCGAAUUUAUUGCCAAAUACUGAUGUUCACUUGUUUGGGAUUUCUGAA